UACAGAGGGGGCAAGCGUUAUUCGGAAUUAUUGGGCGUAAAGGGCGCGUAGGCGGCCUGGCAAGUGGAAGGUGAAAUCCCUCGGCUUAACCGAGGAACUGCCCUCCAAACUGCUUGGCUUGAGUCCGGGAGAGGUGAGUGGAAUUCCCAGUGUAGCGGUGAAAUUCGUAGAUAUCGGGAGGAACACCAGUGGCGAAGGCGGCGACCUGGACGGACACUGACGCUGAGACGCGAAAGCGUGGGGAGCAAACAGG
rnacentral:rRNA from 1 species